CCGAAACUUGUGGGCUCAAGCUAUUGAGCAUAUGGGUAUGGUGUAGGUUAAGUGGGUGUUUAUGCAUUGGAAUUGAAUUGGGAUUACUUGGAGGUUUGUUGGUGACCAAAGCUUGUUUUAGGGCUGUCUGAUUGAGCUUGGAGGGGUUGUAAUUUUGAGUUGUGAGGCUACCUUGGGUGAACUAAGUGAUCGGCCAAGAUGCAGGUCGAGAGGCUCCUCGCCAGGCAUCUGGAUCCUGGGAAGCGAAGUAAUCCUUUUCUGAGCGUUGCGUUUUUUUUAUUUUGCGAUUUUGUUUUACCCGUUUUUCAAGGCUCCUAGUUAAGUAUCAUUUUCUAUAUAUUUUACUAUUUUUAGAGGUCGUAAUACCUUACUAUCUCAGUCUUAUGACUUAAGCAUAAGAUUAAGUAUGGUAGGGUGUUACACACCUCGCUAG